UGCCCUGGCUGACACUUCUAUUGCAUUAUAGGUGAACAUUUGAAGGCUAAAGUUAAAACUUGCCAUCCCUCCAGCAGUCAGCCUACUCUUUAUGUUAUUCAAAUUGAUAAUUGCUAUUCACUGCAACUUGCCAACUUGUGCCUUUGCUCUUCUAAGGAACUGCGAAUUUCAUUAGUAACAAGAAUAAAACAAUCUGUACUUUUACAAACCUCAACAGGAAUCCCACCACUAGGUUACAAAGAAGCGCCGUUUCUACAACCCUUUAACUCAGCUUUCUAUAGUGGAAAUCCCUUGAAAAGAAUUACAGCCGUAAAGAUUGAAUAAUACAAUUACAAAAUUACAGGCAAUCAUGUACAUUUAUGUCCCAAUCGCAUAUGAUUUCCAUUUACUUCUCAAUGCCUUGCUGCAGAUAUUGUAUCAAGUCAUAGCCAGCAGUCGUCCACUUGUUGUAGGCAUCUGUGCACACACGAAUCAUGAAAUUGGCCGCUUCACGUUCACUCAUCUCAGGAUGAAAUCUCUUGCGAAGAUUUCCAAUUGGGUCACCCCUACUGAAGCAAGGUAGUCCGCUGUCUAACAUCAACAGCACAGUGUUGAUUAUCCCGUCCAUGUAACGACGGGCUGCAAGGUAUCCCUUGACACACAAACUUACAAAUUGGAACCAGGUUUCACUCUUCAUAACACCAGAUGGAUCUAGUAAUUGAGUCAUCUCAUGGCUCAGCUUGAAGUGUGCACUCUCAAAGCGCAUGUUUCCACCAGGUGAUAUUUCGAAGAUGAAACCGAAAUCAAUAUGAACUAGCCUCCCCAAAUUGUCAAAAAGAAGAUUCCCAUUGUGUCUAUCCUUUGGUUGAAGCAAAAGACUGGCAACUGCAUAACCAGCACUGCUAAUGAUGAAGUUCUCACGUGCUGCUUCAAAACUAUGAGAGCCUACAGGCCCAAAAUCUUGUUGAAAAAUCUCAUACAAACCACCAUCUGUUGUUUCACCCAUUUGACUUCUGCUCCGGGAAUUAGGCACAACCUCAAUAAUACCUCUCUCUGGGCCAGUUGGAAGAACUCCAUAUGGAAACAAAUAAAGAUUAAGUCCAACUGCUUCAAAUAUGUCUCUAAGUAGAGCUAUCACUUGAAGGGCAAGAACAUCUUGUCGACAAUCAUCUCCAACCUUGAAAAUGCAAGCUUGAGGCUUUAUAUCAUUGCGGUCACCAUCCCGGUCAACCACAUUAAACGUCACCAUUAUCGGAACUUUUGC
rnacentral:misc_RNA from 1 species